UACGUACCGUCCAAACGUUAUUCGGAUUUACUGGGCUUAAAGGGUGCGUAGGCGGCUCAGAAAGUAGGGUGUGAAAGCCCUCGGCUCAACCGAGGAAUUGCGCUCUAAACUACUGGGCUUGAGGAACGCAGAGGUAAGCGGAACUUACGGUGGAGCGGUGAAAUGCGUUGAUAUCGUAAGGAACACCAGGAGCGAAAGCGGCUUACUGGGCGUUUUCUGACGCUGAUGCACGAAAGCUAGGGGAGCGAACGGG
rnacentral:rRNA from 1 species